AGCUAAUCUGAUGGGGACUUGGAGAACUUUUGUGUCUAGCUACAGGAUUGUAAAUGCACCAAUCAGCACUCUGUGUCUAGCUAAAGGUUUGUAAAUGCACCAAUCAGCACUCUGUCAAAACGGACCAAUCAGUUCUCUGAAAAACGGACCAAUCAGCUCUCUGUAAAGUGGACCAGUCAGCUCUCUGUGAAAUGGACCAAUCAGCAGGAUGUGGGUAGGGCCGGACAAGGGGAUAAAAACAGGCCACGCGAGCUAGCUGCUGCAGCCUGUUUGGGUCUGCCUUCCUUUGAGGGGGGCUUUGUUCUUUUGCUCUUGGCAAUAAAUCUUGCUGUUCCUUGGUCUUUGGGUGUGUGCCAUUACUGGGGAGGUCUGCAGCUUCACUCCUGAGGCCUUUACAACUGAGGUGGGUGAGACAAGGAACCCACCACAAACCCAGCGGGAGGGAGGAACAACUCCAGAUGCACUUCCUUAAGAGUUGUAAUGCUCACCGCAAAGGUGUGCAGCUUCACUCCUGAAGCUAGCGAGACCACGAACCCGCCAGAAGGAAGAAACUCUGAACACGUCUGAACAUCAGAAGGAACAAAUUACGGACACACCAUCUUUAAGAACUGUAACACUCACCGCAAGGGUCCGUGGCUUCAUUCUUGAAGUCAGCCAGCGAGACCAAGAACCCGCCAAUUCCGGACACACUAAGACAUCAGGAGGGCACUGUAUUGCCAGGUCCCUGGAUGUGGUGUGAAGACUGUUCUCUACAAAACUCUAGAAGGCACGAUUUUCAUCAGAUUCACAGCCAGCGUGGCCAUACACAUGUCCAUAGAGGUGAGGGGGAAAAAGAAACCACUCAGGUUAUUACUGGUGGCAGAGCUGGAUCAUUAACCACAAGCGCGAUGAAUAUGGCAAGUAAAGCAUUUCAAGCAACAACUGCAACUCAUGAAAGUGCCACAAGUUAUGAGAGAACUAACAUUCAGAAAAUUAGUUCAUCAAAGUUGGAACUUUCAUUGAAAGUGUGAGAAACGACAAAGAAAAUCAGCUGUCUACAGGAUCUGGGACACCAUCACGAUGCUCAUUCCUAAAGUGGCCAUUCACAAAAUGACUUUGGCAGAAAACAGAAUCUUUUAGAAAACAGCUUCAGGAAGUCAUUUAAUUUGAAGGAAAAUAAUCGCUUCUCAAUCUGCACCGUCCACCGUGCACCGUGCACCGUGCACCGUAGGACAAGAAAGAAU
rnacentral:lncRNA from 1 species